CACAGGGCUCUCUGGGUCUGAGACACCACUUCAGACAGAGAGCUUUUGUUCCCCUCUUGCCCAGUUGUCACUCUGCACGCAAGAGUAACAGGAGAUGUGCUGCCUGACCCAUGGGCUGGGAUAAAUGGGGCUGGUUCUGUUUGGUUCCACAGGGCUUGGCCAGCCAAUAUAGGGAGGUACAGCUCUCCUAAGAAAAGGUUCACAUGGACAACUGCUGCUUUCUGACCCCUCUGCAGGGAUUUCUGAGGGUGAUGAGCAUUCAAGCAGGAGCAGAGUGGAAAAGGAGAUUUUAUCCAAGCAGAACUGAAGACCACACACACUUUUAUGGCUUUUUGGGUAUUCUGCAGCAGCUGUGAUCAGGAAGUUCUGCAUCCAGGACUCUUGAACAUAUUCAUUGGAACCUUCACACAAACACCCCCGGUCAGUGGGCUCAUCUCUGGGAUGGAGACAAGUACUGAACUUUCAGGCAUGGAAACAAGUCUUAAGGCACUUUGUGCUCCUUCAUGGGAAGCAACAUGAGGACAAAUGUCUGUCUCUUCCUCCUCUCUCAUCAGUAAAUAAGUUUAUUCCUCAAUAUAAGAAAGAAUAUGUGUAGCGAGAAGGAGCAAAGGGAAGAGAGCUCUCUCUGAAAUGAGUAAAAGAAUUCCAGUAAUUGAACAGCUCAUAUUUUGACGCACUGAGUUAUUAAAUUUUGAGAACCAAUGAAAAAUCUCUCUAGUCAUAGCACUACAGCCUAAGUGCCAGGAUAAAUACAAGAGCUUAGGAAGCCUCAUUUUCCACACAGAUACACUGUCCAUGGGCUCAGGCAAGCCUACAGCUGCUGCUGGUGGAGAAAAUUUUUAGGAAAAAGCAUCAAAAGGAGAAGGUAGCUCUGAAGGCAGUAGAUGCGCUUCAAUUACUGUGGCUAAAUCAUUAAAUUAGAGCCUGUACCUCAAUAUUCCUGUAAAUUCUUC
rnacentral:lncRNA from 1 species